rfam:Caulobacterales bacterium RIFOXYA1_FTLL_67_7 rifoxya1_full_scaffold_10358_curated, whole genome shotgun sequence.
GGCGAAGGCUUCGCCAACCUGGUCAGGGCCGGAAGGCAGCAGCCACAACGAAUUCCCCUUCGGGUNN